CUGCUACUCAAACCAGAGAAAGAGAAGAGAACACUCAGAGUUAACAUACAAAGAUAAAGUCAUAAAACAGAUAGAUAAAAAACACAACAAAACCUCCCUAGCUAAUCUCAGCUCUAACUUUCUUGUUUGUUUCCUUCAUGGCCUAAUCUCAACCUUAACUUUCAGUUUGCUUUCUCCACAUGGAGUUUGAAAACCGUCUCCAAAUCCGGUGGGAUGAAGUACUCCCUCACCCCACUGAAGUUACACACCGACGCCGGUCGCCGCUUUCUUGGCGCCGCCGGGCACGAAAACGU
rnacentral:lncRNA from 1 species